CCUACGGGUGGCAGCAGUGGGGAAUAUUGCACAAUGGGGGAAACCCUGAUGCAGCGACGCCGCGUGAGUGAAGAAGUAUUUCGGUAUGUAAAGCUCUAUCAGCAGGGAAGAAAAUGACGGUACCUGACUAAGAAGCCCCGGCUAACUACGUGCCAGCAGCCGCGGUAAUACGUAGGGGGCAAGCGUUAUCCGGAUUUACUGGGUGUAAAGGGAGCGUAGACGGCCAGACAAGUCAGAAGUGAAAGCCCAUGGCUCAACCCUGGGACUGCUUUUGAAACUGCCGGGCUGGAGUGCAGGAGAGGUAAGCGGAAUUCCUAGUGUAGCGGUGAAAUGCGUAGAUAUUAGGAGGAACACCAGUGGCGAAGGCGGCUUACUGGACUGUAACUGACGUUGAGGCUCGAAAGCGUGGGGAGCAAACAGGAUUAGAUACCCCAGUAGUC
rnacentral:rRNA from 1 species